GAGGUAUAGUUCACGGAGUGUUCUCAGUAGGGCGCAGGUCCCUUAUAAAUAAUCAAAACGUUUAAGCGAAGAUCACUAGGGCUCUUCAAUUUAUUUUUUGUUGGUGUUCUUGUUGACAACAUUAGAGCUCUUGUCUGUUAUUGACAUCAAUGUAAAGAAGAAUCGAAUCGAGAUUGAAGGCUCUGUGAAAAAAAUAAAAUAUUUUUGCGUCUGAUUUAUCAACCACUUCUCCAAGCGGGAAUUGCGAUCUCUCGACAUUCUGGCGGUGCUGAAAGUUGAAAGUGGCUCUUUGGAGGGAGUUGUGGACAUCUACAAGUGAGUUGUGAAGGCAGUGACCCAUUCCAUGGCCAUGCUGUUGAUGUUUUCACAGUGAACAAAAAUCUUCUGUUUUGUGCCUACAGCGACAUUGCAUGUGUUGAAACUCGGUGUUUGAUCAUAGGCAGGGUGGUGGAGCGUGCAAAUCGAGGUGAAGUUCAACUCAUAGCAGGUUGACCAAGAGCAAAGUCUUGAAGCUUGAGUGAGGUUCUUGUAGGUGGAUACGUUCACAUUACAAAUAGGUUAGGUUGACAAAAAAUUAGGUUAGAGGAAUUUAGGUCUAAACGGAUGACUUUGUAUUAGAUGCAAACUAAUGAAUUGGAUGAAUAUUUUAAUCAAGGAUGAAGUUUGGCAUAGAUGAAUUUUAAGCUUAGAUGAGAAGUUAUUUGUGGAUGAGAAGUUAUUUACGGAUGAUAAUUUAUAAUUGGAU
rnacentral:lncRNA from 1 species